rnacentral:rRNA from 1 species
AAUAGAUACCCAGGUAGUCCACGCCGUAAACGGUGGGCACUAGGUGUGGGCAACAUUCCACGUUGUCCGUGCCGCAGCUAACGCAUUAAGUGCCCCGCCUGGGGGAGUACGGCCGCAAGGCUAAAACUCAAAGGAAUUGACGGGGGGCCCGCACAAGCGGCGGAGCAUGUGGCUUAAUUCGACGCAACGCGAAGAACCUUACCAAGGCUUGACAUACACCGGAAACGUCUGGAGACAGGCGCCCCCUUGUGGUCGGUGUACAGGUGGUGCAUGGCUGUCGUCAGCUCGUGUCGUGAGAUGUUGGGUUAAGUCCCGCAACGAGCGCAACCCUUGUCCCGUGUUGCCAGCAGGCCCUUGUGGUGCUGGGGACUCACGGGAGACCGGCCGGGGUCAACUCGGAGGAAGGUGGGGACGACGGUCAAGUCAUCAUGGCCCCUUAUGUCUUGGGCUGCACACGUGCUACAAUGGCCGGUACAAUGGGCUGCAAUCCGCGAGGUGGAGCGAAUCCCAAAAGCCGGUCUCAGUUCGGAUUGAGGUCUGCUAACG